rnacentral:rRNA from 1 species
AUGCGCGAGUUCGUCGCCAAGGUGGCGAGCCUCGGGCGCAUGCGGCACCGGAACCUAGUCAAGCCGUGCGGGUGGUGCAAGUGCGGGCAAGACCUGCUUCUAGUCUACGACUUCAUGCCCAACGGCAGCCUCGACGCGCACCUGUUCGGCAGUGCCCGUGCCGGUGCGGGCACUGGCGUCGGCGUGUCCCCGUCGCCGGCGUUGCUCACGUGGGAGCAGCGUGUGAGGAUCCUCAAGGGCGUCGCGUCCGGGCUGGUGUACCUGCACGAGGGGUGGGAGCAGGUGGUGGUGCACCGUGACGUCAAGGCCAGCAACGUGCUGCUGGGCGCGGACAUGAGCGCGCGGCUCGGCGACUUCGGCCUCGCGCGCCUCUACGAGCACGACGCGGAAACCAACCUGCCACGACCCGCGUCGUCGGGGCGUUGGGCUACAUGGCGCUGGAGCUCACCCGUGACUGGCAAGGCCACCACGGCGAGCGACGCGUUCGGUUUCGGCGGCCUGCUUCUCGAGGUGGCGAGCGGGCACCGGCCCAUCGACCCCAUCACCGGCGUGAACCUAGUGCCCUGGGUCCGAGACCACGGCAUCAGGCGGCAGGGCCGAGCGGCGGGUGGUGAGGCCUUGGCACGACGACGACCGCCAUGGCCAAGGCAAGCAGACGGCUCGGCUAGGAGGGAGGGCGGCGCAAGUGGCGGAGCAGAGCGGCGGAGUGCACAUGAAGUGUUUGACGAAAUGCCAGAGAGAGAGGAGGAAGAAGAUUAG